rnacentral:snRNA from 1 species
UUUGUUUACCAGUUUGUUCUC